GGUGAAAUAUUUUAAUAAAAAAUUUUAAAUUGCAAAUUUAAAGAUGAUAUGAUUUAUCUUUUACCU
rnacentral:tRNA from 1 species